CCUAAUUUUUUGGUAGCUCCCAUUGUUGAUCAGAUCUUUCCCGAAACUUUAGAGUUUGACUACAAGAAUCCCAAACCUAGAGCUAUGUCAUUUGACUUUCAUUUGAACCAGGACUGGAUAUUAUACAAACAGGAAUACUUUGAGUCUAUUUCAUGGUCCAAACCUUAUAGAACAGUAGGAAUACAAGGUAAUGCACUGGUAUUCAACAAGACGUUUUUCAAUAAACUUGGCGGACUAGACACCGGUAUGAAGGUCUGGGGAGGAGAACAGCAAGAACUCAUGUUUAAGUAUGUUAUGUGUGGUGGUGAUUUAGAAAUUGUACCAUGUUCUCACAUCGGUCAUGUAUACAGAAAAAGACUUAUAUGGUCUAAUGAGCUGCACAAUAAGGCUAUAAUGAAUGGAAUGUGUAACCAGUAUCGAGUAGCAGAGGUAUGGAUGGAUGAAUAUAAACAUCUGGUCUUCCACAGACUUGGUAAC